AUAUCUGCAGAGCACAUUACUGAGGUCUACAGUGAUCAGAGGAGAAGAACACAGAAUGGAAUGUAUCCGUGAAGAAGAAGCAGAGCAGGGUUGUCGAGUCCCAGCUAAUAGCCUCUGAAGUAGGGAACAGCCAAACAAAGAGGUCUGCACCAGAACCAACUUGGAAGUCACAAUCAAUUCUGGAAACCAAUGCCAGAAAACACUGAAGAAAUCAAGAAGUUUUUCUUGCAAGUCACAGGAUGUCCUGCACUGCCUAUAUAAGAUAGCAUGGACAUAGGGAUACUAAGAUGUCUGAGGCACUGCUUCCUGCCCUUAUCAUCACAUUUCCCUAAAAAAGCCAUAACAACUUUAAAAAAACAACUGAUCAACCAAUGAAAGGUGAAAAAUAAAAUUAGAAAUAAACUGUUAUCUGGUAAUAUCAGGAAUGAGAGAAGAAGAAAGAAAAAUGUCCUCUGUCUUGAGAAAUUAUUUCAAUUCAGUAACUCCCUAAUUCACCUUGAAUUAGGAAGCAGCUUCUGCCCACCAAUGACUGUUGCCAAAAUGUUGUCUGAGUUUGACCAACAAGAUACAAAGUUGCACAUCUGGUAGACAUCUAAAUAAGUAUGGAAGAUAUAACUGUCCUCAGCUACUCUGACUUUCUGAGAUCAGGAUGUUUUCAAACUAUUGCAAUCUUUUUGGUGUAGGUACUUCUGGGACCUGUCAUAUUGAGACUGUAUGUGGGAAUUACAUUCACAUAGUUGGCCAAAGCUCCAGUGCCAUGAACUAUUGACAAAUUCAGCCUGAACUCUGAUUUUCUUAUCUUUAAACCUGAGUAAAAUCCUUAUAAAUGUCUUCAAAGAAAGUAUG